rnacentral:rRNA from 1 species
UACUCGAGUGGCGAACGGGUGAGUAACACGUGGGUGAUCUGCCCUGCACUUCGGGAUAAGCUUGGGAAACUGGGUCUAAUACCGGAUAGGAACCAUCUUUAGUGUGGUGGUUGGAAAGUUUUUUCGGUGUAGGAUGAGCUCGCGGCCUAUCAGCUUGUUGGUGGGGUAAUGGCCUACCAAGGCGGCGACGGGUAGCCGGCCUGAGAGGGUGUACGGCCACAUCGGGACUGAGAUACGGCCCAG